rnacentral:lncRNA from 1 species
AAUAAGCCCUCCCAUACCAGUUUUGAGGAAGGCAUAGAACUCCUGAACUAAUCCGGGGUAGAUUACCACAUCUAGGGAGCAAAGAUACUCCCAACCUUGCCUUUGGAUCCAUUCCCUCAACCGAAACCCUUCUUGAUCAAAGAACUCGGAAUGGAUCCUUCUCCCCGUUGUAACCAGCCUUCCCGCAAAUCUUGCAAGUAUCACUGAGGGGGAAGGAGGAGGGGCCUCCGCACGUACCUCACGUCGUGGAGACACGGGAGAUGGCUCCGUAGGUUGCCUUUCCUCCUGUUGAAUCCGUGUGACUCUUCCGGAUCUCUUGGCUACGGCUCUUUUGGGUCCCAUUUCUCUAGGAUCUCAAGGAAAUCUACUGUUUGGAGAUGAUUGGAGAAGAUUUGAGAGUGGGAAAAAGUGGUCUCAUCAGGAAUCAUCGACCAUCGAGAUAGUCCCUGUGAGUCUCAUCAUCCACCAGCGACACCUAGCAGCAUGUGGUGGCCACCCAGCAGAAUGGAAUGACGAACCUCUAGGUGCAGUUAUCGUAUGAUACAGUCCUUCUAUCGUGGAUCCCUACAGGACAGAGGUCAUGGACAACUCGUCAAACCGCAUCGUCUGUCAUAUGUCAGGAUUUAUUCGACUUAAGUUCGAGAGUGGAAAACUUUUUCUCCACUGUACGUACUGCUUCGGCCGAGUUCUUACGAACUCAGUCUUAUAAAUCAUAUAGGAUCACUCUUUAUCUAUCAAAGUCGAUAGAUUCUAUGUAGGUGCAUACCCUACUCCUAUAAUGAACCUACUACAGCCAAUCUAUACUACAAGGGCUCGUAUAUUUAGAAACCAUGUAUACAUGCAGUCAAACUACAAUAAUCUCACUGUGAGUAGCCGAAGUACCGCAGGUCAAAAGACCAGUCACACUACUGCAACAUCAAGCAAGUCACUGACGAGUGGAUAGAUAUCCAAGUGACUUCUUGUCUUGGUCACGCUCAGUACCCUUGUUCUCUAACAAGCACCUGCACUAUCACUUCAGUGUCCCCACACCAUGGACUCGAGUCUCGUCUAUCCAUAAGGAAAGCAAUGUGUGCACUGAUCUCAUUGGAUCGAUCACCGUCCUCGUGAUGAUCCAUCGAUCAGGAGCAUUAGAAAUUAAUCACCAAUGAUACAUGGCUCAAAUUCUCAACUCUUGAGAAUAUGCAUCAUCUUAUUAAUUCCUUGGAUGAUUCACAGACAUAUAAACAAUAUGAAUGAAAAAGAUGUCUUUUUAUUAUUCAAUAAUAAUAAAGUUAAGUACAAAAUUAUAUUCAGAAUUAAUAAUGUGUCAGCUAGAUUGGCUUCUAGGGCAUUUGUUUAACAAUCUCCCACUUGCACUAAAGCCAAUCAGUCAUAUAUUUAAGUUCCAUCUUCUAAAGGUGGGCUUCAGUCUUCUGCUAACUUAGCUGCUUAGUGAACGGGUCUGCCAUGUUAUCCGUGGAGUCUACUCUCUGCACCUCUAUAUAUUUUUUCUUGACGUAGUCGUGUAUGAGGUGAAAGCGCCGCUCUAUGUGCUUGGACUUCUGAUGAGACCUUGAUUCCUUAGCAAGAGCUAUGGCGCCAUUAUUAUCGCAGUAGAGUGUUAUGGCAUCUGAUGACAUUACAUCCAACUUUGCAAUGAAUUUCUUAAACCAGAAGGCUUUUUUUGCAGUUUUAGAGGCGGCGAUAUAUUCAGCUUCCAUAGUAGAAUCAGCAAUGAUCGGUUGUUUGAAACUCUUCCAAUUUACCGUACCACCAUUGCACAAGAACACAUAUCCAGAUGUAGAUUUUCUAUCAUCAAUAUCAGUCAUGAAAUCUGAAUUUGUGCAUUCUUCUACUUUUAACUCUGAUGCUUCUCCAAAAACUAAGAACAAAUCUUUAGUUCUUCUCAAGUACUUAAGAAUGUUCUUCACAGCUGUCCAGUGCUCUUCAUCUGGAUUCGACUGAUAUCUGCUAGUGACACUCACAGCAAGGGCUAUAUCAGGUCGUGUACAUAGCAUGGCAUGCAUGAGACUCCUUAUUGCCGAAGCAUAAACGAUCUUGUUCAUGCGUUGAAUCUCUUCAGAUGUGUUGGGGCACAUCUUUUUGGAGAGAUGAAUCCCAUGCCUAAGGGGUAAAAGAUCCCUUUUUGAGUUUUCCAUGCUGAACCUCUUCAGCACUUCCUCUAUGUACAUCUUCUGUGAUAGGCCAAGCAUCCUCUUAGAUUUAUCUCUAUAGACUUUAAUCCCCAAAAUAAAGGAUGUUUCCCCAAGAUCUUUCAUGGAGAAUUCUUUUGACAACCAGACCUUGACCAAGGUUAGUACGGAAAUAUCAUUCCCUAUCAAGAGGAUGUUGUCUACGUAUAAUACGAGAAAUACGACAACACUCCCAUUAACCUUCUUGUAAACACACGGUUCAUCUUCAUUUUUGACGAAAUCAAACGUUUUGAUUGCAUCAUUGAAAUGAGUGUUCCAACUCCGAGAUGCUUGCUUUAGUCCAUAAAUGGAUCUUUGCAGCUUGCAGACCUUGUGAUCUCCUUCACUGGAAGUGAAACCCAAAGGCUGCUCCAUAUAGAUAUCUUCAUCAAGAUAUUCAUUCAGAAAAGCAGUUUUCACAUUCAUCUGCCAAAUUUCAUAAUCAUGAAAUGCUACAAUGGCAAGCAAUGUUCGAAUAGAUUUUAGCAUGGCUACAGGUGAAAAGGUCUCUUGAUAGUCAAUGUCUUCGUGCUGACUAUACCCUUUCGCCACUAUCAUUGCUUUGUAGGUCUCUACCUUUUCAUCCGAAGCUAUUUUUCUUUUGUAGAUCCAUUUACAUCUAAUAGGUACAAUACCUUCUGGUGGAUCCACAAAAGUCCAGACUUGGUUGGAAUGCAUUGAGUCUAUUUCUGACUGCAUGGCUUCCAGCCAUUUUACAGAAUCGAUAUCUGAUAUCGCCUCGUUGUAGAUAUUGGGAUUCUUUAUAUUUUCCCUAUCUCCCAUGAGGAACAUUUUCUUGGUGUCCUCUAUAAGCAUACCUAAGUAUCUAUCAGGAGGAUGAGAGAUCCUACUAGAUAUACGACGUGGAGGAGGUACAACGUGUACUGGCUCUAAGGUUCUAUAGGAUCCAUAACUCGUUGCUUUUCAGAGACUUUCUCUUCAAGCUUAAUUUUCCUCCCACUGCCUCUAUCAAGGAUAAACUGUUUUUCCAAGAAGAUAGCAUGUCGGCUCACAAACACAUUGUGAUCCUCUAAGACGUAAAAAUUAUAUCCUAAUGAUUCUUUAAGAUAUCCUAUAAAACGAGCACUUAUGGUCCUAGCCUUUAGCUUGUCCGCCUGUAGUUGUUUGACGUGGGCCGGACAUUCCCAAAUCUUGAGAUGACCAAGACUCAGUUUCUUACCAUGCCAUAUCUCAUACGGUGUGGUAGGAAUGGAUUUAGAGGAAACUCUAUUCAGUAGAUAAAUUGCGGUAAGGCAUCUUCCAAAGAAAUAUAGGUAAAUCAGUGAAGCUCAUCAUGUACCGGACAAUAUCCAAUAGAGUCCGAUUCCUCCUUUCUGAUACCCCGUUGAGUUGAGGUGUAUCCGAAGGAGUCCAUUGUGAAACUAUGCCAUUUUUCUUGAGAUAGUCCCAAAAUUUUCCACUAAGGUAUUCUCCUCGAUCUGAUCGAAGAGCCUUAAGGAGUUUUUCAGUUUGUUUUUCUGCUUCAUUUCUGAACUCUUUGAACUUUUCAAAAGACUUAGAUUUGUGUCUUAUAAGAUACACAUACCCAUAUUGUGAAUAAUCAUCGAUAAAGGUAAUGAAGUACGAAUAACGACCCCUGGCUAGCACAUCAAAUGGGCCACACACGUCAGUGUGUACCAGAGUAAGUAUUUCAGUGGUCCUCUCCCAUGUCACACAAAGAGUAAUCUUGCCAUUUUUUCUUGAAGACAGGACUUGCAAACUGGAUAUAACUCGGAAGUCAAUGAGCCGAGAAGCCCAUCUUUCUUCAUUUUGUUCAUUAUGUCUUCUCCAAUAUGGCCAAGCCUAAGAUGGCACAAAUACUUCUGGUUUGUUUGAUCUCUGGAUCUUUUGGAUCCUUUGGCACUCACUUCUUGCUUAGAUACAUUCACAGAUACAUCUAUAUGUAAGUGAUAGAGACUGUCAAUCAUAAAACCACGUGCGACUAAUUUAUUUCUGAAAUAAAUAGAACAACAGUCUUUGUCAAAUGUAAAAACAUGACCAUCCUAUGCUAAACAUGAAACGAAAAUCAAAUUUCUACUAAUAGUAGGUACAUAAUAACAGUCUCUAAGCAAUAAACUAAAACCAGAUGGUAGUCGCAGAGGAUAAGUGCCCACAGCCACAGCAGCAACUUUUACCCCGUUGCCAAUCCGAAGGGUUACUGCACCUUCCCCUAGUCUUCUACUUUUCUUUAGAUCCUGCAUAGUAGUGCACAAAUGAGCACUAGAACUAGAAUCUAUAACCCAACUAGAAGUAGAAGAAACCGUAAGAUUAGUUUCAAUUAUGAGCAAGUCCAGCAUACCUGCUGAAGGUGUGUCUGUUUUUGUUCUUCAGGCUCUCGAGAUGUGAAGGACAAUUCCUUUUCCAGUGGCCGUCGACAUUGCAGUGGAAACAUUUUCCUUUGUCAUUAGUUUUUUUCUUUUGAACUUCCUUCUUUGGCUUCUUGUCUUUUUUGUACUUCUUCGUUGGCUUCUUCUUCUUCCAAGUAGACUUUCUCUUGGAACCAGAAGUCAACUCAGCAGCAAGGACAUUGCCCCUUGAACCUUUCAAGGCUCUCUCAGCAGUUACCAACAUAUUUAACAGUUCAGUCUUAGUGCAUUCAAUCUUAUUCAUGUGGUAGUUUACUAUAAACUAUCCAAAUUAAUCAGGAAGGGACUGCAGGAUCAGAUCUAUUUGCAAUUCCUUGUACAUGUUCAUACCGAGCUUCUCAAGCUCCUCUCGGUUCUUGAUCAUAGUCAGACCGUGAUCAUGGACAGACUGCCCCUCGCGCAUCUUUGCCUUGAAGAGCCUUUUGGACACUUCAAAACGAGCUGUGCGACUCUACUUACCAUACAACUCUUGCAGGUGUGAUAAUAUCUACCUAGCAGUCUUCAUAUUCUUAUGCUGACAUUGGAGUUCAUUGGACAUGGAUGCCAUGAUGUAGCACCUGACCCUAAUAUCAUCAUCCGUCCACUUUUGAUGCGUUUCAUGUUGAUCAUUAGUAGGACGUGCUAGUAAUAUGGGGAUAUCCCUUUCGAGUACAUAGCCUAGUUUCUUGCAAUUCAGAACGAUUUUGAGGUUUCUAAGCUAGUCCUUGUAAUUGGCUCCGGUCAGUCAGUUGGUCUUAAGGAUACGGGUCAAAGGAUUUGAAGCCGACAUUGUGAUCUAUAGAGAGUAAAGAUUCUAGUUAAACUUUUGUACUUGAUCCUAAUUUGUUCUAGGGUCUUUUAGAACAAAUGUACCUCCCACUAUUUUUUCGAAUCCCUCACACUCCCUUGGUGGAGAAAUGAAAGCCCUACGCGACUAGAAUUUUUAGUGGGUGCUGCGGUCCCACCGAUUUACAUGACACCUCACCUAACAGUUAUUGGUGACACAUAAAUGGAUGAGUAUAUAACUCUUGUACAAUGCUUCUCUAGUAUAUUGCAGUGCUACUUGGUCUCUAAGUCAUGAAGAUCUCACCUAACAGUUAUUGGUCCCAUUCCUUAGUUAAGUCAGACCCACCGUAUAAUCGUAGAAAUAAAGUCAUCAUUGGGUCCUCACCUAAUAGUUAUUGGCGCCCAACCCUAGCUUUACCCUACAACAUCUCAUGUCUAUAGAGAGGUCCAGUCCCCCGAUGUAACUUGCCCACUGUGUCCAGCCGAGACAAAUCAACACCGGAAAGACCUUAGCAGCUCUACUAAGGUGGAAGACCUAUAGACUUAAUAUUGUGUAAUCAUGUCUUAGUGUUUGCAACCUUGAGCUCUUCAUAAGAGGUAAUCGAAUAAUUGGCCAGGUAAGCAGGUGGGAGGCUCCCCUUACCCAGAGAGUAAUGUUCUAAUUAAGUAACUACCUUUCAUGCUUUUCUAGACACCAAUUAGAUCAAUUAAUCUAAUAUGACUCGCUCAUGUUGGUUCUGGUUCGGACACCAGUAUCGGACCGCCACUGAUGCAGGUCUACGGUCGUCGCAGGAGGAGGGUCUAGCCACUCUCGUUAUGGCUGGACUGAGUUGAUGUUAGUUUAUUUUAUGUUGACUGGGUUUAUGUAUAUAUUGUUAUGUUAUGGCUUUUGUGGGAUUAGUUUAUUAGGAGGGACCUUUUCGUAUUUCGUAACCCUAUAUAUAGGGUCUAUGCAUUUCUUGACAGGUUAAUGAAUGUUGAAUAAAUUUGCUUUCCGUCUAUUUUUCUCUCUUCUUCCCUCUCUGUCCUUCCUCCUCUUUCCUCUCCAGUCCUCUCUCCUCCUUUCUCCCACCCCUCUCACGAGACAGUGCUGCAUCAGUUUUGGUAUCAGAGCUUAGGCAGGUUUGCCGCUGUUGCUAAAGCCUCGGUCCCUCUUCUGUCUCUUCCACUGUUCCUACUGUUCUCUUCUUCUUUCGGUUUCAGAUAAAAUAAACACCUUCUGCUGCCUCCUCCCUCUCUCUCGGAUCUCGCACCAGACAAAAAAAACAAAGCAGAAGCCUCUGCGGCUGGUCCUCCACUUCCAUUCUCGGCCACUUCUCCUUCCACAGAAGCACCAUGCCGGUGCAUGGCAGAGCACCGCCGGAUCCCAGGAUUCCAGUGGGCACACGAAAUCUACGCGGUACCCCGACCCCGGACGUCGGAGCGUGCUGACGGACCACGAGUGACUCCCGUUGCCAAAAAGAAGAGGAGCAUCGCCGCCCUUCUUUCGGCUCUGUCCCUCGGACCCGCCGAAGCGCCCGCCGGCCACCGCGCACACGAAGAGAGACGGGAAGACAUUACUAGUGAGAAGAGACCCUGUGCCGGAGCAGGUGACCGGUCGCCGGCCAUCACCACUGGCCACUGAGAUCCACCCGCACUGCUGGCGUGAACUUCGGCAUGAUCGGCCGUCGGGAACCGCCAGCAACCGUGGGCGUAAAUCUCGGCACGCUCACUUGAAACUGUUGGAGAGUUUCAAGUUGGUAAACGGGUAAGCUCCAAACUUGUUAACCCUCGGUCAGUAACCUGGAUCCGUUCCGGGAUAUAAAAAAAAGAAAAGAAAAAAAGAGGGUCACAUGACCCUCAUGUGAGUCCCGCACGUGACUUCCACACGUGACAACCUCAGGCGAAAGCACGUGACUUGCAUGUGCUGUUCAAAAAAAAAAGUGUACCUAUCGUCCCGACGAAGAACCCUAGAUCUUGGGUUCUGCCACCACCGCCGCCGUCGAGCAUCGCUGCCACGCCGCCACCGCCGCUGUCACCGCUCUUACCACCGCACCCACACUUUCGCAGCCUCUCGCCGCUUCCGUCGCCUCUCACACGAACGCCUUUUUUUUUCCCCAUCUCUUCUUCCUCCUUUCUUCCCGACCUUCCACUACCUUUUUCCACCCUUUAUCACCUCACUGACGGGAGGAUCGGAGAGUCCUGAACCCUCCUGAGCAUCUUCUACCACUUCACGGCCAGUCGACAUCCGGCUGUCCAUCCACCACCGCCUUCGCCCAAGCUUCACGACUACCUUUCCGCCGUUGAAGAACCGCCACCGCCACCUUUUUUCGAUUCUUCCGCUGCCACCCCACCACCCUUGCUCGCCGCUGCCUGUCCCUCGGUUGCUGCCUUCUUCUCAAACCCAUUCACCUCUCGAUCCCCAAUAUCAUCGCUCCAUUUCCCCUCUUCACCUCCCCGCUUCCACUUAUUCACAGGCCAUCAUUUUAUCAGGCCCGCACCCGAUUUCACACAGGCCCAAGCCCGAACGUCCUCCUUCCUUUGGACUUCGGCCCAGUGGCCUGACCCGACUUUGUCCACACCCACAGGCCUGCCACAUCACUGCAGAGCCCAUUGCAGCUUGCUCUUUUCCCCUCCUUUCUUUGAACCACAGCCCAGUAGGUCAUAAUUGCGCCGAUUAGUGAGCCGGUUUGCCGCACUUGAAUCAUCAUCUUCCACCAGAUCAGGUUUGCCCUUUCCUGGAUAUUUUGUUUGCUUUCAUUUUGGCAUCAAAUAGUUGUUUUGUGCUUGGUGGUAUACUCUGAAUAUCCAAAACACACGCUCUCACACACCUCCACGCAACAUACAGUAAUCUUUNNNNNNNNNNNNNNNNNNNNCUUGAAUCAUCAUCUUCCACCAGAUCAGGUUUGCCCUUUCCUGGAUAUUUUGUUUGCUUUCAUUUUGGCAUCAAAUAGUUGUUUUGUGCUUGGUGGUAUACUCUGAAUAUCCAAAACACACGCUCUCACACACCUCCACGCAACAUACAGUAAUCUUUGUGACAACCCUCUUUAUUAUUAAUUGUAGAGCUAGUUAUCGUUGGGGCCUACAAGGUUUCGUGACACCUGAUCAUCCACUGGACCCUACUCUACUUGACUGUGGAUACUUGUUGACUUGCGUCCCUUUCUAGUUCCCAGUUUAGAGUAUUUCUCUGUUCGAGCAUAGUCUUGUGUUAUAUUGAGCAUCCACCUUGCAUUUUAAUUGACUUUGCAUGCAUUAGGUCAACUUCACAUCAUUAUUGUCGUCCUAUGAUAGGAUAGCAUAUAAUUAAGUCUACUCUUCAUAUGCACCUUCGUAGUGGUCGUGUCCUAUCACAUUCUAACACCCAGUCUACUGUGGACGACCGCAUCGAAGCCCUAUUGAAAGCUGUGGAAGACUUGACCACUAUAUCCACUCAUACCCAUGCCCGCCUAGAGUCGGUUGAAUCCUCCCUACAUAGGCUCAUAGAAUCCAAAGAAGAUGCGGCAGCCCACUUCCCCGAUCUCGACUUCGAUGAAACAUGGAACCCCACGGCUCUGUUCGACAGGGAAAUUUUGACACUGUACCCUUACCAGGACGUCAUCAUGCAUACCCAUGCUCUAGAGGAUCGGGCACCAUCCCUCAUGCUGACCGGGGUCAUCGCUUUAAUGUGGAACCUAGGCAGCCUCGUGACCAUGAGGACGAUGUGUUGAAGGGCAUUCGUGUUGAAGCCCCUACCUUUGAUGGUCGCUUAGACCCAAAAGUCUUUUCAAACUGGUUGCAUGAAAUGGACCACUUCUUUAAGUGGUAUAAUUUGUCUGAGGACAAGAAGGUCCGGUUCUCUAGGAUGAAGUUAGUUGGUCGCGCCAAACUUUUCUGGCAAAGCACCGAACAUUUGCUAGCUAGGAGACAUCAACCUGCGAUUAUCGAUUGGGUAGAGAUGAAAGAAAAACUGAAAGAAAAGUAUCUGCCUUUUAGCUACCAAGAUGAUCUUCUCGAUCGGUGGAAUACUUUGCGACAAGGUAAUCGGUCCGUUAGUGAUUACAUCGCCCAAUUUGACGAAUUUAUGAUGCGUUGUAAUGUGGAAGAAAAUGAACGGAUGGUCCUAAGCAGGUUUCGAAGAGGUCUUAAUGAUGAGCUUAGGAAGGAACUCAUCCUUCGGAAAAUAUCCACCCUCGACCAUGCCUAUACAUUCGCCCAGAACUAUGAGCAGAUAGCCAGGUCUACAUUUGCUCGACGUUUUGACCUUCGCGGACCACCCACCAGCGUUUCCCCUUCAGGAUCUCGACAUCCGCUUGGGCCCACGCCUUCUAGACCUGUUUCCUCCAACCCUACCUCUAACCGGGACACUAAGGGCAAGGGCAUUCUUGGCGAAGCCCCGAAGGCAAGUUCCCAAAUCCAAUGCUUUAAAUGCCAGGGUUUUGGUCAUGUCGCUUCCCAAUGUGCGAACACUUCUCUUGUCGUUGCAGCACAACAAUAAGAGGAUCAUAACGAUGAAUUAGAAGAACAAAUCUAUGAACCAAAUUUAGACGACAUCCAUGAUGUCGAGGAUGACCACGAAGAACGUACCGACACUUUAGGAUGCAUCCGAACCACAACUCCAUCGAUUGUGACCGAAUCAAUUCAAUCUAUUAUGAAUGUAGUACGUUGUGCUCUCGCCCAACCCAAGGAACAGGCUGACUGGAGGCGUACUUCGAUCUUCCACACUUAUCUUAAGUGCGGAGAUAAGGACUGUAAAGUUAUCAUUGAUAGCGGGAGCUGCAUUAAUGCAAUAUCAUCAAAUAUUGUCUCUCGCUUAGGUUUGACUCCCGUUCCUCAGACCCAACCUUACGAGGUCUCCUGGAUUGACACAUCUUCUAUUCAAAUUAAAGAACGGUGUCUCGUCCCAAUUCAAAUCCUUUCGUAUAAAGACACCAUCUGGUGUGAUGUAAUUCCGAUGGACGUAGGUCACCUAAUAUUGGGAAGACCUUGGUUGUUCGACCUUGAUGUCACCAUCUUUGGUCGUUCUAAUUCUUGUUCCUUCAUAUUUGAGGGCAAGAGAAUUAAACUUAAUCCCCUACGGUCUAGGACACUUGACGAGGGCAAGAAGACCAGUGAGACCAAGAGCAAAGAACUCCAUAUUCUGAGUCCAUCCAAAUUUGAACGGGACAUCUCUAGUGAUUCUGUAGUGUACGCUUUACUUGUUCUCAAAAACCAACUGAUUCCACCAAGCAAGCUACCAGCAGAUGGUAAACUCAUCCUUGAGGAGUUUUCGGAAAUUUUCCCUGAAGAACUCCCGGAUCACCUGCCGCCCUUGCGUGACAUACAGCACGCUAUUGAUCUAGUUCCGGGAGCUACCCUACCUAACCUACCCCACUAUCGAAUGAAUCCUUCUGAACAUGCUGAGCUGCAACAGCAAAUUAACGAGCUCAUCCGAAAGGGGUUCAUUCGUGAAAGUUUAACUCUGUGUGCCGUACCUGCACUCCUAACUCCAAAGAAAGAUGGCAUGUGGAGGAUGUGUAUCGACAGUCGGGCCAUUAACCGAAUUACAGUCAAAUCCCGUUUUCCCAUCCCUCGGCUCGAUGAUAUGUUGGAUAUGAUGGCAGGCGCCACUAUUUUCUCCAAAAUUGAUUUAAAAAGUGGGUAUCAUCAAAUCCGGAUCCGUCCCGGUGAUGAAUGGAAAACGACUAUUAAAACAAAAGCUGGCCUGUAUAAGUGGUUGGUCAUGCCUUUUGGACACUCAAAUGCCCCUAGUAUUUUUAUGCGAGUGAUGAGCCAAGUACUACGACCUUUCAUGGGCAAAUUUUUAGUCGUAUAUUUUGAUGACAUCCUUAUCUACAGCCAAUCAAAGGAGCAACAUCUCGAUCAUGUACGACUGGUAUGUACAACCCUGCGGAAUGCCAAACUAUAUGCAAACCUUAAGAAAUGUUCGUUCUUUACUUCUUCUGUCAAUUUCUUAGGUUACAUUGUCUCCUCAGAAGGUUUGUCCGCUGAUCCUGAUAAAAUCACUGCGAUAGUCGAGUGGCCUGAACCAAAAACCAUCACUGAGGUUCGCAGCUUUCAUGGGCUGGCUACUUUUUACCGUCGUUUCAUUAAGGGGUUUAGCACACUAAUGUCCCCAAUCUCUGAUUGCCUAAAAAGGGGCGACUUUCAUUGGACUAGCACUGCUGCUAACGCAUUCCACGAUGUCAAGAAGCGGAUGACAGAGGCGCCAGUUAUGCGUUUGCCAGACUUUAGUAAGGCGUUUGAAGUGGAGUGUGAUGCAUCUGGCCUUGGCAUCGGUGGGGUGCUCAGUCAAGAACGCCAUCCCAUAGCAUACUUUAGUGAGAAGUUAAACGAGGCUAAGUAAAAAUACUCUACCUAUGAUAAGGAAUUUUAUUCUGUAGUCCAGGCUCUCCGGUAUUGGCGCCACUACUUGCUACCCAAUGAAUUCAUACUUUACUCCGAUCAUGAAGCUCUUCGCUACCUUAACUCCCAAAAGAAGUUGAAUUCUAGGCAUGCCAAAUGGGUUGAGUUCCUUCAGGAAUAUACUUUCGUUCUCAAACACACAUCGGGUGCCUCCAAUACUGCUGCUGAUGCACUGAGCCAGCGAGUGACCCUACUCUCGACCAUGUCCAUACAUGUUACUGGCUUCGAAAGACUCAGAGAUGACUACUCCACUUGCCCCGAUUUUGCAGAACUCUACAAAACCAUUGCUGAUGGACAUGAACCCUCAAUUGAUGGAUUUUAUCUUUAGGAUGGUUAUUUGUUUAAAGCAGCAAAGCUCUAUAUCCCAUGGACAUCAGUAAGAGAAUUUUUGGUGUGGGAAGUACAUGCCGGUGGCCUUUCCGGACACUCUGGGCGAGAUAAGACCAUUGAAGAGGCUGAACGUCAAUUCUUCUGGCCUAGCCUAAAACGGGACGUUGCUAAAAUCACUAGCCAAUGUCGAACGUGCCAACUAGCCAAACACCAGAAACAAACACUGGUCUCUACACCCCCUUACCGAUACCUGAUCGUCCUUGGCAUGACAUUAGUUUGGACUUUGUGCUUGGUCUUCCCCGUACCGUCCGACAACAUGAUUCUAUUCUUGUCAUAGUGGAUCGUUUCUCCAAAAUGGCCCACUUCAUUCCGUGUUCCAAAACCUCGGAUGCUUCCAAAGUGGCCAAACGCUUCUUUGCUGAGAUUGUUAAACUUUAUGGCCUUCCCCNNNNNNNNNNNNNNNNNNNNCCAAAAUGGCCCACUUCAUUCCGUGUUCCAAAACCUCGGAUGCUUCCAAAGUGGCCAAACGCUUCUUUGCUGAGAUUGUUAAACUUUAUGGCCUUCCCCACACCAUCGUGUCUGACCGGGAUGUACGUUUCAUGAGUUAUUUUUGGAAAACUUUGUGGCACUCGGUUGGUACGAAACUUAAAUUUUUCAAUGCUUACCAUCCGCAAACUGACGACCAAACAGAAGUGGUAAACCGAAGUCUAGGUAAUCUUUUACGGUGCCUUGUGGGUGAACAUAUUCGUAACUGGGAUUCAGUUCUUCCUGUCGCACAGUUCGCAUAUAAUAAUUCAGUCAAUCGGUCCAUUGGCAUGAGUCCAUUUGAGGUCGUACAUGGUUACAAAGCUCGAAAACCUUUAGAUCUUUUACCCAUGUCACCCCAUGUUAGGAUUUUUGAGUCUGCACACGCAUUUGCACAACAUAUUCAUGAGUUACAUGAGGAAAUCCAAAAGCGCAUACAUGCUAGUAAUUCUCAAUAUAAACUGCAAGCUGAUUCUCAUAGACGGGACAAAAUAUUCCACCCUGGGGACUAUGUUAUGGUACGUAUUCGACUAGAGUGGUUCUCGCAGGGGACCGUUAAGAAACUGCAGGCUCGUAGUGCGGGACCAUUUCGGAUAUUGCACCGGGUGGGGACGAAUGCCUAUGUUCUUGACCUCCCCUCAGAUUAUGGUAUCAGCUCCACUUUUAAUAUUGAAGAUUUGGUUGCUUACAAGGGUCCACUAUCCAUCCCAGAUGACUCUUUUGUUGCGUCCCAUCUUGAGCCCGCUACUUCCCAUAUCCCUGAGUCCAUACCAUCUUCCCUUCCUUUGCCUCUCCCACCAGCACAGAAAGAACUUAUUGAUGCCAUUUUAGAUGAGCAAACUAUUUUAUCCAGUGCUGCUAGCAUUCAGCGUUUUUUAGUUCGUUAGCGUGGCCGCCCAGAGUCCGAUUCGACUUGGAUCACACGAGAGGAGCUUCAGCGCAUUGAUCCCGACCUUUUGGAGUAUUACCAGAGCUGCACUAUUCCACAUUCGUCGAGGUCGACUUCUUCUGACCCGGGGGGAGUUGGUGCGGACACCAGUAUCGGACCGCCAGUGACGCGGGUCUACGGUCGUCGCAGGAGGAGGGUCCAGCCACUCUCGUUAUGGCUGGACUGAGUUGAUGUUAGUUUACUUUAUGUUGACUGGGUUUAUGUAUAUAUUGUUAUGUUAUGGCUUUUGUGGGAUUAGUUUAUUUGGAGGGACCUUUUCGUAUUUCGUAACCCUAUAUAUUGGGUCUAUGCAUUUCUUGACAGGUUAAUGAAUGUUGAACAAAUUUGCUUUCCGUCUAUUUUUCUCUCUUCUCCCCUCUCUGUCCUUCUUCCUCCUCUUUCCUCUCCAGUCCUCUCUCCUCCUUUCUCCUACCCCUCUCACGAGACAGUGCUGCAUCAGGUUUACUCUCAACUGAUUGAGGAGGUUUUGGUUUAGGUCCUUUUCGAUUGAUUAUCUACAUCUCAUGCACAUAUCCAUCUACCCGCUAUGCAUAGGCAUAAACAUAAACAUCCAGGCAUAUAUAACAAAAUAAAUUUAACUGGUGAUGAUCAUGGAUCCAAGAUGGGUCAUAGUAAGCACAUGCACGUCAAUUGGUUAUAUCGUCUUUAACUCUUGACUUGAUUUUGAUCCCUUAGGUCUAAUUGUGAUCAAUUCCUUGAUCCAUUUUCGAUCAACAUGGAUCCAAGAUGGGUCAUAGUAAGCACAUGCACGUCAAUUGGUUAUAUCGUCUUUAACUCUUGACUUGAUUUUGAUCCCUUAGGUCUAAUUGUGAUCAAUUCCUUGAUCCAUUUUCGAUCAACCUUUGAUCUCGAUCCGCGCAACGCUUGCUUGUAGAGGGCAUGCAUCGAUCAACCAUCGACGUGCAACAUACAUCACUGAUUGCAUCCCAGAUAAAAUUCAAAAAUAAAAGAAUAAUUACAACCCCUUUUCUUGAGACAUGCAGGUCUCUAUUACAUGAACUUAAGAUGCACGCAGGCAUAUGAAAAACUAAAUUACAUGUCAUCACAUAACAUCACAGAACAUCGCAGAACAUUUCAGCACAAUCACAAAGGGUCAUCCAUGAUCAUCACCAUAUGCAUCACAUGCAUAAAUAUAAUUUUCAGAUCUGAAAUUUAACUGAUUAUGUCAUCUCAUGAGUUGCUGAUUACAUUUGAUAUGAUUCUAAAUAUUUGUAAUCACAUUAACAACACAAUAUAAUCAUUAAUCUACGCAUAUCAAAUUUAGCAUGUAGAAAAAUCAGCAACCUGAAAAUUCUGUAUGCAGAAAAAUCAGCAAGCAUAAUCUUUAAAUUUUCAGAUCUAAUAUGCCUUUAACGAUUAGUCCUAAUCUUAAUCUAUACAACCUAGGCUCUGACACCACUGUUGGGAACCCGUCCAUGCUGCAGAAAAAUCAGAUUAGAAGUGCAGCGGAAGGGGCAUGCGCGGGAUCGACGUUCAUUGCAUGAACGUAUUUCAAAAAACCGUCGUUCGUAGAUAGAUUAGGAUUAAAAACUUUUAAACCAUUAGGAAGAUCAGAUCUUCAUCUUGUGCGGGUAGAUGAUCACCGCAAAUUGAUGUUCGUGGUUUUGGAUGAAGGUUCGCUUGAAGCUGCACACGUGUCCGGCCUCUACGGGUAUCCAUACGAAGCAGAGGACCGAUCAAAGCUUUCUUGUCUUCCCGGGGUGCUAGCUCCCUUGCAGAGACAACUCUUGAUGGCUGAAAUCCUUCCUUUGAAUCAACCCUUGAUUUCCUUAGGAAGGAUGAAGAGAAAGGAGGGAUCUGGAAGAGGAACCAAAGGCUACUUGCAGCCUUUCUCCUUUCCCUGCGCUGGAACCAAGGAAGAAGGUCAAGAGGAGGUGCACGCCGCCUCUUCUUUUCUCCUUGCUGAUGGCGGCUGAAGACCAAGAGGAAGGAGGGGCGUACGACACAAGGGAGAGGAUUUCCAAUGCCCUAGGUGCUGCCCCUUUGAUUCCUUUAAAGGAGCUCCUGACUAAUUCCCAAGAGGGGCGCCGGCCCCUCUUUGUUUUGCCGCACCAAGGAGAAAAAGAGGAGGGGCGAUGAGGUGGCCCUCAUAUGGUCUAGUCCUAAUCUAAUUAGGCUUCAACCAAGUGUGAACCAAUUUGGGUUCUAAUCUAUGCAAGUUCUAAUCCAAUUAGAACUUAAAUGAAUCAUGACUCAAUUGAACUCUUCAAUCCUAAUCCAAUUAGGAGUCAUGUUAAUUCAUUAGAUUAAUAAUUAAUUAGGAUUUAAGAAAUUCUAAUCCAAUUAGGACUUAUUCAAUUUUAGUCCUAAUCCAAUUAGGACUCUAAUUUGAAUCCAUAGUCCUAAUCAAAUUAGGACUCUAGGAAUUCUACUUUAAGUAGGACUCUGAUUCGAAUUCGAAAUCCUAAUUCAAUUAGGACUCUAGGAAUCCUACUCUAAGUAGGACUCACAAUCCUAAUCUAAUUAGAACUCUAGAAAUCCUACUCCAAGUAGGAUUCGUGUUUAAGUCCAAUUAAUCAAAUCUCAUUAUUCCUUCUUCAACUCAUUAUCAAUGAAAUUGAUUAUUCGUGAUUCAUAAUCAUAAUUCAACCAUCGGAUCGGUCAAUACUUCUAAUGUGUGUGACCCCAUAGGUUCUAUUCUGUCUGGUAGUGAGAUGUAUUGCGAUCUCUAUCACAAUAUCAUUGAAUACUGCUUUCAAUGGGUUGGAAUAAUUCCAACUCAACUCAUCAGGAAUCAUCGACCAUCGAGAUAGUCCCUGUGAGUCUCAUCAUCCACCAGCGACACCUAGCAGCAUGUGGUAGCCACCCAGCAGAAUGGAAUGAUGAACAUCUAGGUGCAGUUAUCGUAUGAUACAGUCCUUCUAUCGUGGAUCCCUACAGGACGGAGGUCAUGGACAACUCAUCAAACCGCAUCGUCUGUCAUAUGUCAGGAUUUAUUCGACUUAAGUUCGAGAGUGGAAAACUCUUUUUCCACUGUACGUACUGCUCCGGCCGAGGUCUUACGAACUCAGUCUUAUAAAUCAUAUAGGAUCAUUCCUUAUCUAUCAAAAUCGAUAGAUUCUAUGUAGGUGCAUACCCUACUCCUACAGUGAACCUACUGCAGCCAAUUUACACUACAAGGGCCCGUAUAUUUAGAAACCAUGUAUACAUGCAGUUAAAUUACAAUAACCUCACUGUGAGUAGCCGAAGUACCGCAGGUCAAAGGAUCAGUCACACUACUGCAACAUCAAGCAAGUCACUGACGAGUGGAUAGACAUUCAAGUGACUUCUUGUCUUGGUCACGCUCAGUACCCUUGUUCUCUAACAAGCAGCUGCACUAUCACUUCAGUGUCCCUACACUGUGGACUCGAGUCUCGUCUAUCCAUAAGGAAAGCAAUGCGUGCACUGAUCUCAUCGGAUCGAUCACCAUCCUCGCGAUGAUCUAUCGAUCAGGAGCAUUUAGAAAUUAAUCACCCAUGAUACAUGGCUCAAAUUCUCAACUUUUGAAAAUAUGCAUCAUUAUCUUA